CCAUCGGUCCUUUUCAGGACCACAAUAUUUUUACAAAAAAGAGAAA
rfam:Stomoxys calcitrans breed 8C7A2A5H3J4 unplaced genomic scaffold Scaffold1407, whole genome shotgun sequence.